rnacentral:rRNA from 1 species
GACGAACGCUGGCGGCGUGCCUAAUACAUGCAAGUCGAACGCUUCUUUCCUCCCGAGUGCUUGCACUCAAUUGGAAAGGGGAGUGGCGGACGGGUGAGUAACACGUGGGUAACCUACCCAUCAGAGGGGGAUGACACUUGGAAACAGGUGCUAAUACCGCAUAACAGUUUAUGCCGCAUGGCAUAAGAGUGAAAGGCGCUUUCGGGUGUCGCUGAUGGAUGGACCCGCGGUGCAUUAGCUAGUUGGUGAGGUAACGGCUCACCAAGGCCACGAUGCAUAGCCGACCUGAGAGGGUGAUCGGCCACACUGGGACUGAGACACGGCCCAGACUCCUACGGGAGGCAGCAGUAGGGAAUCUUCGGCAAUGGACGAAAGUCUGACCGAGCAACGCCGCGUGAGUGAAGAAGGUUUUCGGAUCGUAAAACUCUGUUGUUAGAGAAGAACAAGGACGUUAGUAACUGAACGUCCCCUGACGGUAUCUAACCAGAAAGCCACGGCUAACUACGUG